rnacentral:rRNA from 1 species
AACGCUAGCGACAGGCUUAACACAUGCAAGUCGAGGGGCAGCACAGGUAGCAAUACCGGGUGGCGACCGGCGCACGGGUGAGUAACGCGUAUGCAACUUGCCUAUCAGAGGGGGAUAACCCGGCGAAAGUCGGACUAAUACCGCAUGAAGCAGGGGCCCCGCAUGGGGAUAUUUGCUAAAGAUUCAUCGCUGAUAGAUAGGCAUGCGUUCCAUUAGGCAGUUGGCGGGGUAACGGCCCACCAAACCGACGAUGGAUAGGGGUUCUGAGAGGAAGGUCCCCCACAUUGGUACUGAGACACGGACCAAACUCCUACGGGAGGCAGCAGUGAGGAAUAUUGGUCAAUGGGCGUAAGCCUGAACCAGCCAAGUCGCGUGAGGGAUGAAGGUUCUAUGGAUCGUAAACCUCUUUUAUAAGGGAAUAAAGUGCGGGACGUGUCCCGUUUUGUAUGUACCUUAUGAAUAAGGAUCGGCUAACUCCGUGCCAGCAGCCGCGGUAAUACGGAGGAUCCGAGCGUUAUCCGGAUUUAUUGGGUUUAAAGGGUGCGUAGGCGGCCUUUUAAGUCAGCGGUGAAAGUCUGUGGCUCAACCAUAGAAUUGCCGUUGAAACUGGGGGGCUUGAGUAUGUUUGAGGCAGGCGGAAUGCGUGGUGUAGCGGUGAAAUGCAUAGAUAUCACGCAGAACCCCGAUUGCGAGGGCAGCCUGCCAAGCCAUUACUGACGCUGAUGCACGAAAGCGUGGGGAUCAAACAGGAUUAGAUACCCUGGUAGUCCACGCAGUAAACGAUGAUCACUAGCUGUUUGCGAUACACUGUAAGCGGCACAGCGAAAGCGUUAAGUGAUCCACCUGGGGAGUACGCCGGCAACGGUGAAACUCAAAGGAAUUGACGGGGGCCCGCACAAGCGGAGGAACAUGUGGUUUAAUUCGAUGAUACGCGAGGAACCUUACCCGGGUUUGAACGCAUUCGGACCGAGGUGGAAACACCUUUUCUAGCAAUAGCCGUUUGCGAGGUGCUGCAUGGUUGUCGUCAGCUCGUGCCGUGAGGUGUCGGCUUAAGUGCCAUAACGAGCGCAACCCUUGCCACUAGUUACUAACAGGUAAAGCUGAGGACUCUGGUGGGACUGCCAGCGUAAGCUGCGAGGAAGGCGGGGAUGACGUCAAAUCAGCACGGCCCUUACAUCCGGGGCGACACACGUGUUACAAUGGCGUGGACAAAGGGAAGCCACCUGGCGACAGGGAGCGAAUCCCCAAACCACGUCUCAGUUCGGAUCGGAGUCUGCAACCCGACUCCGUGAAGCUGGAUUCGCUAGUAAUCGCGCAUCAGCCAUGGCGCGGUGAAUACGUUCCCGGGCCUUGUACACACCGCCCGUCAAGCCAUGGGAGCCGGGGGUACCUGAAGUCCGUAACCGCGAGGAUCGGCCUAGGGUAAAACUGGUGACUGGGGCUA